rnacentral:rRNA from 1 species
UACGAAGGGGGCUAGCGUUGUUCGGAUUCACUGGGCGUAAAGGGUGCGUAGGUGGCUUGAAAAGUUUGAUGUGAAAGCUCAGGGCUUAACCCUGAAAUGGCAUUGAAAACUGUCGGGCUGGAGGUUUGGAGGGGGGACUGGAAUUCUUGGUGUAGCAGUGAAAUGCGUAGAUAUCAAGAGGAACACCAGUGGCGAAGGCGAGUCCCUGGACAACACCUGACACUGAGGCACGAAAGCUAGGGGAGCAAACAGG